GCGAACGGGUGAGUAACGCGUGAGCAAUCUACCUUAGUUACUGGGAUAGCCCGAGGAAACUCGGAUUAAUACCAGAUAUUCUUAUUUUUUCACAUGAAGUUUUAAGGAAAGGUCAGCCGAACUAAGAUGAGCUCGCGUUCUAUCAGCUAGUUGGUGGGGUAAAAGCCUACCAAGGCUACGACGGAUAGCUGGUCUGAGAGGACGAUCAGCCACACUGGGACUGAGACACGGCCCAGACUCCUACGGGAGGCUGCAGCAGGGAAUAUUGUGCAAUGAGCGAAAGCUUGACACAGCGACACCGCGUGUGGGAUGACGGUUCUAGGAUUGUAAACCACUUUCAGGAGGGAAGAAAAUGACGGUACCUCCAUAAGAAG
rnacentral:rRNA from 1 species